CACAGGCCAUGCUGGAAGACGGACCCACAGAGGCCAAGUGUGGCAGCCCCUCAGCUCCGCGUGGCUCUCAGUGCCUCCUGACCAGGCCAUCCCAGGGUGGGUUACCAUCUGGGCACCCUGUCCUGGUGGCACAGGAUGGGUCGCCAUCACCACCUGGGAGCAAAUGCUGAGCCACAUGUAUAAGACACAAGGCCCCUGGAGCAAGUGACCUUCCCACAGCAACUGCUCGGACCCCUGGUGCUUGGUUUGGGGAAGCAGGUGGCACAUCUGUGACAAGGUCCAGCAGCCCCCACCCAACCCAUCUUCACACCUGGGAUCCCAGCCCCUGCCCCCACCCAGCCCAUCUUCACACCUGGGAUCCCAGCCCCUGCCCCCACCCAGCCCAUCUUCACACCUGGGGUCCCAGGCCCUGCCCCCACCCAGGCCCAUCUUCACACCUGGGGUCCCAGGCCCUGUCCCCACCCAGGCCCAUUUUCACACCUGGGGUCCCAGCUCCUGCCCCAGCGGCAUGAGCGAACCACACGGCAGCCGUCCUGGGCCACGUAAGGAGCCACAGCUGCCAGGGGGCUGUAGCUGAGCUGGCACACAGUAUCAGCUACAGCAGCGUUUGAGGUUGAAUUCUACAUUCUUAUGGCUUCUCAGUAAAGCAACGCCUCCUGCCCCUGGUUUGGGCUGAGUCCCUGGAGUUUCAGAGUGUCUGUGUUGGGACUGGGCAGGCAGUUCAUGCUGUCUUCAUCUGAAGGGCUCUCACCAGCAGACGUCAGUCUGACCCCAUGUCCCUCUUGCCGCCAACACUCCUUUCCUCUGCAGCUGGGGCCAUGUCCCCUUCCUACUGUCCUGAAGCCCUUCCUGCUGGGUGGGUGCCAGGCCAUGGUGGGGGGUGUCCCUGGCCGAAGUUUCCCAGAUGCACCCCAGUUGUGGCUGCAUCUGGGCCCUCCCUGGAAGGUGCAGCCCUGUCUCUGUCCUCGGUGUCCUCCACCCCAGCAAACACCACAGGCCUCUCCCAGACAGCAACCGACGGGCAGCAGCCAUGACCCACGCUUCCCAACACUACCUGGAGUACACGCCUGGCCCACAGGGCUGGUCCAUGGCGGGGAGCGAGCCCUGGAAGGUUCGAGCCUCAGGACAUCAGACGAAGUCUGCUCCACCAGGAAAGCCACAUGGAGCUCGGCUGGACUCAGGCUCAGCAGGGAGGCGGCUCAGGCAGGAGAACAUCGAGGCAGGGCAGCUGGAGGCCGGAGAGGAGAAGGGCAGGCCCUGAUGGCAGCAUAUUUUUCAUCUUGCUCCUGA
rnacentral:lncRNA from 13 species